GAAGGUAUAGCUUAGUGGCAGAGAAUCUGCCUUGCAUGUACAAGGUCCUGGGUUCAAUCCCCAGCACCUCCA
rnacentral:tRNA from 1 species